GCCAAAUAUGGGCACGCGGCCGCGAGAGUAUGGAUGGUGCAAGCGUUAUCCGGAAUGACUGGGCGUACAGCGUGCGUAGGCGGGUUGUGAAGUGAGAGGGGAAACCGUGGGGCGAAACCCUGGCGUUGCAUCUCGUACUGGCAGGCUAGAGGAAGGCAGAGGCAAGGGGAAUUAGCAGUGUAGCAGUGAAAUGCGUAGAUAUUGCUAGGAACACCAAUGGCGAAGGCAGCUUGCUGGGCCUUUUCUGACGCUGAGGUACGAAAGCGUGGGGAGCGAACAGGAUUAGAUACCCUGGUAGUC
rnacentral:rRNA from 1 species